rnacentral:misc_RNA from 1 species
UGGUGAUCAGCUCCGCAGCGAUCUAUUUUGUCGUCCACUUCUCUGCCGCUGUUGAUGUUGUUGCGACAACGUUUCUCCAUUUUUGAUCGUAUGUGUAACACAUUCGCUUAUCCUUGAACAUCCUUCUCACACCCAAGCCCUCACACGUACACACACACACACACACACACACACGCAGGCCAUCAUCUCUCUGUCUCAGCAUCCGCUCCCCGCCCCCUUGAUCCAUUCCUGAAAGCCGAUCCUGUGCUGUGCUGUGCGUGCUUCGCUCUGCGUUUUUGCGUGCGCAGGAGUCUUUUCUCGUUGCUUCCUUCCGCUGACUCGCCACGUGCACGCAUUCACUCCCUGUGCGUGUCUUGCUUGUGUGCCCCAAAGCUGAAGAAGCGAUGCAGCAGGUCGCCACAACGCCGGCAAGCAGUUUCGCACCGAUCAAGAGUUCGGCGACUGCAUUCGGUGCGUCAAUGGCGGCGCAGGGUGCGCCAACACCGCCUCCCCCCCAGCAGCAGAGUGUGAUGGCGGCGCAGGGCCAAGAGGCGGGCCCGAACCUCUGUGGCAUGCCAGCUGGGUAUCCGUCGGCGAAUCAGCUGGAGCUCCAGCCAGUGGAGCAGGCCAACUACGAUGCCAACGCGAACAAGGCCACCUACGCGAAGCGCCUGCGCCACGGUGAAGAGUACAAAUCCGCCGCCGUGAACGGCGUGCAGCGCGCGGAAAAGCCUGUACUGGGGGCGGCCGAUCCACAGCUGGUGAACAGCAACCUCCCCAGCGAUUGCCCAGCAGUCGCCCGCUCGAUGGUCGAUCAGACGCGCUACACCUUCAACGUUGACCGCGGCUCCUUUGCGCACGACGCGUACCGCAACGGCGGCCUCGGCCUCGGCUCCUUUCAUGGGGGCAUGCCAGGCUCGAUGGUGAUGGGUCGCAUGGGUUCCAUGCUUGGCAUGGGAGGCCCCAUGAGAUCCAUGUACGGGAUGGGCAGCAUGUACGGCAUGAACGUGUCCCGCCCAGCCUCGCUGUUCGGGUCUAUAUACGGUAGCCAGUACGGGAUGGUGCCGAUGGAGUCGAUAUACAGCUUGGGGGGCUCGAUGAACCGCAUUGGGUCCAUGUACAGCAUGGGAUCCAUGUACGGCAUGGGGAUGCCGAUGAGGUCCGCAAUGGGCCCGAUGAGCAUGAUGGGCUGCCCGACGGGAUCGAUGUACGGCACGAACCCUGGCAGCCAGUUUGGCCUGAAUGGAUUCAGCAGCGUCUACGGCGAUCAAUUCCAACAUGGCAUGCGCGGCUCGCAGUACAACGGCGCCAGCAACUACGACAUGUUUGGCUUCGGCAGUGGCUACCAGCCGCAGCCCGGCUACGGCCCCACCGGCAUGACUGGCGCGGGCGAGGCAAGCGCCACAAAUGGUGCCGCCGAUGCCGGCGCCUUCCCGCCGGGUCCUGUGGAACAGCCUGCAGCGUUGUCCACUAAGGCGCCGCUUCGGGCGGUCACGCAGACUUCUGGUGCGGAGAAGAAGAGCAGCGAGCGCAAGAACGGCGUGGCGGGUCUGCUGGUUAUUUCUGCCGGCGCGAACCCGGCGACGACGGUGAUGCUGUCGAGCGACCCGCCAAUUGCGAUGGCUGCUGAUGAGGUGCUGCGCACGGGUCCCAGCGCUCAGGCCACCGCCGUCGCGAUCACGCGCAGUCCCAACUGCCAAGGUGUGUACAACAGCGUCAACGCUGGCCACAACACGGCGCUGCUGCUCGCGACAGACGGGUCGACGGAGUCCCGCUCGAUGGCAGCGGAGGUGGUGAGGCAGGUGCUGACGGAAGCGCUGUCGGAAACGGCGAAGGCGGCUGCCAGCCACGGCUCUCUGGGCUACUACGACGCCCGUGUGUCGGCCUGUGCGCUGCGCAGCGCUACGGAGGCGAUCGACUGCGUCGAGGGCGACGCUGUCACGAAUGUCGAGGUCGGCUCACAUCCGGUGUUUGGGACGGCUUUUAUGAACGUUGGCACGGUUACAGUGCGCAAGAUCGAGACGCACAUGCCCCAGGUCGACGCGGCGAUCACUGCGGCGUGCGGGAGGUCGGAUUCCAAAGUGGCUGUCAUCGAGGCCGUCGUGAAGCAGGUACGACCGUCGCAGAAGGGCAGCAGCCCCACGGACGUGCUGCUGUCCUCGAUCCUGUUCCUCGUCAGCAACGUGACAAUGGAGCAGCAGUCAUACUUCGAGGCUUUCCGUAACGGCGCAAACGUACCACCGGCCCUCAUCAAGGGCUGCAUUGGCGGGGCGUGCCACACCGUGGCGGUGCUGUGCCUGCCCAACUGCACCGACCCCUCGGCCGCCAAUGAGGCAAUGGCCUCACUCAACACAAUCUGCAACAUCGAAAACUCGACGCCGCGCAGUGGCAACCUCGCCCGGUUUAUCGCUUUCGCCACAGGAGAGAGCGACAAGAUGAGGCAGAAGCCAAAGGUGGAUGCAGCAGUUCUGGAGAAGGUGGACGCGAUGCUGGCGGACGGCCGCUCCAUCCUCCAGGACCCGCGCAACACCGUGCCUGUGGCAUACCCAUGCUCUCCACCGCGCACCCUGAGCCGCGCGGUGAACACGCCACAGCUCUCGUCGGGCGACAUCAACGCCCACGCCACGGAGAAGGGGCGUGACGCGUCGAACCCGAUUCGAGUGGUCGUCAUCGCGAGCUCGCAGGCCAGCAAAACGUUUCCGCAGACGUUCAACGUCGGCCCAGAUGGCAAAUCCAUUGUGGACGCCGCUAGUGGCACCAAAGCAUCUGUGCUGGAGCUGGUGACCUGUGCCCCGGAGGACUGGCGCAGCACGACGCCGGAGCUGGUGAACGAGGUGCAGACUCUGUUCCAGAACGGUAACAACACUGCCAUCGUCGGCACCGUCUUGCCAAACGAGAUGAACGUGCUGAGCAAGCAGCCGCUGUGGAUGUCCUACAAGAGCAUGGUCUCCUCCCUCCUCAGCGUCGCCACACAGAAGUACAAGUUUGCUGAAGUGAGCCUCAGCAUCGCGCUUGUCGGCGGCAACGAGCUGCUCGCGGACCUUUUGGUCGGCACGGACUCGGCAGCCCCGGCGGCGCAGACCCCGCAGAAGCUCUCCGUGGCGUAUUCGCCGCUCUUCGGCCCUACCGUGUACAAGUCGACGAUCAUCAAGCAGCCUACACCGCUUCAGCUCGAAUCCACCAUCAACGGCGCCCUCUCCCGUGUGCCGACGAUUAUGCAGCAGUACCCGAACACGAAGACGGUGAUCAUCGCGUCGGCCGUCAUGAAGGGUGUCACGUCCACGGAUGUGUACACGAGCUCGAUGCUGGCUGCCAGUGUCGUGGACCCGACCGUGCUCAUCGACAUCCUCGACAAGAAGCCGGACGUGCCGCAUGAGCUGUUCGACUACGCGUUUGGCGGCCCGUGCUGUACCUUGUUCCUGGCCCACGUCAUCCAGGGUGACACGGGCGUGGGGAAGGUCGUUGAGCUGAUAAACCGACUCAAUGCGACACAGAACCGCAGCGUCAGGACGUGCAGCGUGAAGAAGUUCAUUGCCUUUGCCGAGGAGAGCCUGAAAAAGGCGGAAAUCAAGGUAGCCGCGGCCAAGUCGGAGACGGAGAAGGAGACAAUUCUGCGCAGCAAGAAGAGUAUGGAGGUGUUCCACGCAGAGUACAAGACCCUCAUGGAGGAUCCCGAGCAUCACGACCCGAAGACGUACCGCCGCAGCGGAGGAGGCAUCGGCUCCUCGGGGUCCGGGUCCGCCGCCGCCACCGCGGCCAACUCCGGCGCGAGCAAGACGCGCAGCCUUGCAACCCCAAUCACCGGUGGAGUUUCGGCCGAUAAGUCCCGGAAGAGCGCCGACGGCGACGAGAAGAGCAGCGAGCGAAACGCGAAGGCUGACGACGCCAAGUCGUCUGGCAGCCGCCACAGCUCUAGUCACAGGAAAGCUUCGGCAGACGGGAAGAAGCGGCGCAACUCCAGUAGUCGCGCUAAAGCCGACUACAAGCCCUCCAGCAGUCGUCACAGCUCCGGGUCGAGGCGCAGCUCGAAAUCCUCAUCUCACAAGCACCAUCACAGAUCCUCCAAGGACAAGAAGUAAUCAUCUGUGGCUCAAUGGUGUGUGCACGGAAGCCUCUCUCUCUGUUGGUGUGUAGCAUGCAGCACGGCAGGCGACAUCCGCACCGCCUUCUCUCCUUCGUCUUUACCUUAUAUUUCAUAGUCUACUCCUUCUUCCCCCCCCCCCCCCCCCCAACAUUGUUGUUUCGCUUUCCUGUGUGCGUGCACGGCAGCGGCAGGAAGGGAAAGAGUCGGGUGUGGAUCGAUCUUAUUUGCAGUCCUUCCCCAGCCCCCUCGAGCAUCCUUUCCUGCCUGCGCCGCAGCUGUGCUCCCCUCCCUCCCUCUGACAGCGACGCACAUGCACCGCUGUAAGCGUUUUUUUUAUUCCUAUUCGUUUUGCCGACUUUCUCUCUUCCCCCUCUUCGUCCCCUCUCUCCUCCCUCAUCUUUUGUGAAGGCACCAAACCUCCUCCGCGAAACAGGUCCUGGGCUCUCUUUGCGCGCGUGUGCGAGUCUUUCCACCUGUCGUGUAGGGCGCACCGCGGUACGAGUGGGAGAGCUGCAUCUCCCCAUCUCGUGAGGAGAGUCUUUCAGUGCUCUUGCUCUCAUUCUUUUUUCUAGUGUUUGCACGUGCGCGUCAGAUGGAGGUUGACGUGGCCAUUUCGAUUGGUUCUUGUCUCAUGCCGAUUCUGUGUGCCAGCACGUAGGAAGGAUCGUGUACAUGUCUGUGCGUAUGCGCAGAGAUGCGCUCCAUCACUUGUGUUUCUUGACUAUACGAAGUCAGUACUCGUGCGAAUGCCCCUGCGCUGCCUCCCCAGGUGUGCGGUGACUUUUUCGGUGACUGCUGUUGCUACAUUUCUUUGAACGAGUUCCCGUGUUCCAAUCUCUCUCUCUCUUUACACACGCAAGCCAGCCACGCGCUUUUUUUUCCCCGUGCUAAGCGGCUUUGCUUCCCCAUUCCCCUCAUCCUGCCUUGUGUGUCCUUUGACGUAGGAGACCGUGCAAGUGUGAAGUGUGCGCGUGUGUGCGUGUGUGUCUCCUUGCCUUCUUUAUGGUUGUUGUGGUUCUCGCUAUUCUUUGCGCUUUUUGUCGAUGUGCCACUUUUUUCUUUGAUGUGGUUAGGCUCCGUUUUUGUCGCUCGUUAUUCGGCUUUGCAUAACUCGCUUUCUUGUGUGCGGGCCGAGUCUGGUGUCAUCAGCCCCCCUCCCCCUUGCUCUAUCCCUCCCAAUCGCCUUCAUCUCUUGUUAUUUCUUCUCGCUUCUGGGUGCAUUACACCAUACGCCACGGCGAGAUGAAAUCGAAUAGAGCAGUACACACCCACACACAGACAGACAAGGAAGACGGAAAGACAACAUGUGCGCCGCAACGGAAGUACCGCUGCCUCCUUCUUCGCCUAGGUCUCUCGUACACGUGUCUAGCACGCUCCAUGAUGCGUGCACACUGAAGCCGCUCUCUCCCUUUUUUUUUUCGUUGUGGUCUUGCUUAUGCGUGCCGCCUCGGUGGUGCUUUUUUUUUCGUGUUAGAGUCGCUCUUAUUUGUGUGUGCUUUAUUUUCUCUCCUCUCAUCCUUCUCUUUUCGUUUUUACUUCUACAGGCACGCUAGAGUGUGACCUGUAGCGUGGCUUUCAUGGAAGAACACAAGCUCUUCGCACUUCUGUGCUUUAUUUUGCCGCUGCUGCUACCGCGUUGUGCUACUCUUGGUAUGCUUGUAGAUGCGCUUUCGCUGUGUAAGCCUCUUUCCUGGUCGGCUUGUCUCUGCAUCCCCAGCCACACACCCUUUAACGAUUCUCUCUAUUGUUUUUCUAUUAUUUGCUUUCGAUUGCAAGCACCAUUUCGAGGGCUGCUGGGCACGCAUAUCUGCUUCUCCUGGUGUGUCUACGUUUGUGCGUGUGCGUGUGUGCUUCCUUGGCCUAUGCACUUCUCGUUUCUCCCCUCCCCACUGUCCCGCCAACACCGCUACCUCUUCAAGCCUGGCCAUUCUCCUCGGUGCACACACACACACACAUAUUUGUCUCUACUUACCUUCUUCCUUCUGCUGUUUUUGCCUUUUCAGUAGCGUGGCCCCUCUUUUAGUUGGUUUCCUGUGUCCGGAGAGACAAAAGGCCCCAACUCCCCUCCACUUCUUUGCCCCUCCCCCGUCCUUCACGGUCUGGAUGUUGGCAAGUACUCUCUUUUGUGAUCUUGUCCUCUGCUGGUGCGCGCUGUGUAAUGUUCUGUUUCUCUUUGCCCUGAGCUUGCUGUGAUGGUUGUGGUUGCUCUCCACUCUGCGUCCGGAGCUGCAAAGGCGCUUGAUUGCCUUUGCUCUUCUUGUAUCCAUUUCGUUCUUCACCCUGGUCGUGUUUCUUUAUAUUCAUCUUUAUGUGUGUGUGCGCGUGUGCAUGUGAACAGACCGUUCCACUUCCGCGCCCCUGCGCCUACCCUCGUCGUGUACUCCUCGUCACAUACUCGUCCCUCCCCCAGUUCUCUCCUCCCUCGCGCCUUCUUCUGCCUCGCUUCCCUCUCUCUCUUUCGGGAAGAGUGAGAGACCCGGAGAGGAGGGAAGCGUGAUGGCAGGUCUGUGUGUGGUACGGAGAGAGGAUGGAGGAGUGAAGUUGGAGUGCGAUGACGUUGUGCGCGGAUUUAUAUGGGCUCUUCUCGUUUGAAUUUACGUGUAUUCAUCCCUGUCCGCGGAGUCCUACUCCGCAUCCCUAAGGCACCCUACCCAAUUCGAUCCGUGAUGCCCACUACGAGCAGCGCCAUCCCCUCCCCCGUGCACACAUUGAUGACUGACUCAGAGGUUUACGUACAGAGACACAGACGCGGCCACUCCUCACAGAGGUGCGUGCAGCCAUCGUUGCUUGAGCCAUCCAGAGACCACCAGUACCACCAGCACAACGAGCGAAAUCUACGUGCCUUUCGAGUGAUCGCUACCGACAGACACGUAUAUACAGAUACAUAUACAGAGUCAAAGAGCAUGUCGCACACUUCAGGCUCUGUACUCGUGCUUGUGGCAAGCAGCGCGCUUGUGGUGCCUCGGACCCAACUGUGCGUGCGUGCGUGUGCUCCCACCUUUCUUCCUCGUUUCAUUGGUGUUCGACACGGAUACGCUCAUUCGUGGCUGUGGACUAUUCUUAUGGUCUCCCGAACUGUCUCGCGGGUGCUCCGUGUGCUUUUUGUGCCAUCGACGCAUCUCUCCAUGUGCCUGUGCUCGCGCACGCUCCUUUUCCCGCUGCUUCCCUUUCCGCUUCAGCGGGGCAGAUGGAGGUGGUGGUGCUUUUUUUUUUUUGCGACUUUGCCAUGUGCGCUCGACGAGGCGCAAAGUGUGUGCGCGUGGAUACGUCUGCGCUGCCGUGGUAGUCUCCCGCAUCAUGUGAUGCACGCUCUUCCGUCAAUUCUCGUCCUUCACACUUUGCCACGUCUGCGCCCGCGUGCUUACGGGUCGCUGCGGUCGGACUGCCUGUGCCCUCCCUCUCUUUUGUUUGUUGUCGUUUCUUCUUUCCUGGGGAGGAUGUCGUUUCACCUGGGUGCCGCUCUGAGCCACCACCCCCUCCCUCCCUCCCCACCCCACCAUUCCUACGUGCCAAGAGGCUCAAAGAGCACCGAAGCGUCACUGAAAAAAGGAGAGGGCAAACCUGCAAGCGUCGCCUGGCCGCGAAGAAGAACAGUACAAGUGCAGGCGUUUAUCGUAACCAAAACCGGGUAUGAAGCACGUGCGUGCGUGCGAUGUAGGGAUAUCGAAUGCCCCACACACGUUUUUUUUGUUUGCAGCGCCACAGCACCCGCGUCAGCAACCUGCUUCGCUCCCCUUCACCUCGCUCCGUUGUUCACCUGUGCGCCACACCAGUAUGCGUUCGUCUCAUGUGUUUCUAGCGACGUACUCUUUCUCCCUCUUUUUUUUGGUGUGUGGGUGGGGCGGGGUGGGGGCAUUGCUGUUGUCUGCCUCUCUUUUUUCCUUUCGCCUUUCUUGGACUCGUUGUACUUCUCUUUUAUUUUUUCUCUUGCCUUCUUUCCACUGUUACGGUUAUGCUCAAGCUCGACGUCUCCCAUGCCGGCAUUGUGCGUGUGCGUGUUCUCGGACUUCUCCCCACCCACCCCUUUUUAUUUUUUGUCUUGUGUUAGCAUGCUUUCUUUUUCCUCUUUUUUUUUCCAGUCGUCGAUUUCUCUCAUCUGUGGUUUCUUCGUUCUCAUUCUUUUCACCUCGUUGCUUGAUGGUUGAUGUGCCUGAACACCUCCUCUUUUUCUUCUUUACACGUCUACGUUGUAUAUAAAUAUAUAUAUGCACAUAUAUGCAGCGCUGCAGGCGUGCCUUGGCCCCGUGAAUGCGGACGACCAACUCUCGCUUGCUCCCUCGUCGUUACCUUUUCCCCCUACUCCCCAUACCGGCAAGUGAGUGCGCCGGUGUCCACGGAAAGGAAUGGUGCCUUUUUUUCGUGUGCUUUAUUUUUGAGCUCGUUUUUUUUUUGUCGCUUCUGUACGCUUCUCUCCGGGCCUAACGCUGCGAUGAGAUCGGGGUGGGGGAGCGGCAGUGAGGGGGACGAUCGAGCUUUCAUGGUCGCGUGGACACGAUAUCUUUCCUCCACCUGUCAGUGCCACCUCUUGUUUCCAUUCGCUUUGAGAACGGCCCUCCCCCCCCGUGGCCUCAUGGGCGUGCACUCUUGCCAGGACACAGACGCAGCACGUACGCGUAUUUGUGCUCUUGUAUACAAAAAGGCGCGCCCUACCCCGGCUGCUAUGGCGUCGGUGUAACGUCCUCUCCCUUCCAUCCUCUCUCCCCUCUUUCUCACACUCUCGACGAAAAGGGAAGUGUACACGCGAUGAGCGCAUGUGGUUAUUGCUUUUUUUUGGGUCUUUUUCAUACACAAAGACGCUUCACGGUCGUUCUUGUGGGUCCUCUCUCUCUCGUUUCUCCAGGCUGUUCUCUUUCUGUGUGACGCUUCCAGCUGUGAAAGCACUCGCUUUCUCUCUUUUGGGGGUUGCCUCUGCAUUUUCUGCCGCAGAUGUUUCUUCCCUUUCGCUUUCAUUGCUCUACAAUGUCCGCCUCUGCCUUGCCUGAUUUUUUGUUGGAAGGGUCUGUCUCUGUAUGCCUGUGGCGUCCCUCUGUUCUUUGCAGCUGCAUCUGUGUGGGUCUGAGCGUUUGAUGCAGAUAUAUGUGCAUCCACGUGUGCCUCUCCUCUUUUCUUUCGGCGCUGUGUGCAUUCUCCCUCUCCCGUUGCGUUUUCUUCGUACCUCCUCUUCUCCGUUCGAUGUGCAGCGAUGAAAGCUGUCGCUGCCGCCGAAUCCGACUUUUUGCCUGUUUUUUUCUCUUUGUGUGUAUGCCUGUGUGCCGUGGAGCAGUGAUGGGAAAAGCUCGGCAGACUCCCUUUCUGUUUUAUGUAUCCUUGUGCCGUUGUUGAUCCUGUUGUAUGCGCGGUUGUGUAUUUUUUUUUACCUGCACGCGUUCCCCUCUCUGUCUCUCUCUCUUCCUCCAUGCUUCCGUCCUUGUUUUUCUUCGUCUCCUUCCCUUCACUUGUCUCACCAGCAUCGCACCCACAAGACGCAAAGUCGCCCGCGGCACAUCACCCCUAAAAAAAAAGAAACUAUGCUAUUGCUAAAAGAGCAUAUACACAAUAGAGGUGUCCACUCUUCUUCCUCUCUUGCCUGUAUUCUCUAUGCGUGGGUUGACGGCGAACACUCGCGCGCGUCGCACGAUUUGGGGAUCUCAAGUAUGUGCUUGUAUGUAAAAGGACGCAUGCUGCGGAUGAAACG